GUUUCGGUAGCUCAGCGGUAGAGCAUCAGAUUGCAAAUCUGGUUGUCAUGGGUUCGACUCCCAUUCGAAACU
rfam:Cryptococcus depauperatus CBS 7841 supercont1.22, whole genome shotgun sequence.